UUGACCUCGGAUCAGGUAGGGAUACCCGCUGAACUUAAGCAUAUCAAGANCCGGGGAGGGGAGAA
rnacentral:rRNA from 1 species